AUGCGUGCCCUCUUCUGGAACAUCCGCGGCUUCGGCCAUGACGGCCGCCGCCGCCAGCUAGUUGAGUACAUCCGUGACGAGCACAUCGACAUCAUUGCCAUCCAAGAAACCAUGCGCAUGGAUUUCUGUCUUUCCGAGCUUGACAACCUUAGCUCCCACCUAUUCGCCUGGCAUUGGCUCCCUUCUAGUGGGAACAAUGGCCACUCGGGUGGCAUCCUCUUAGGUGUUAAGGAUGCCACCUUUGAGGUGGGAGGUAUGGAUCGGGGCGAGUUCUUCGUUAGUAUGGAGAUCUUCGAGCGUGCGCUCAACUUUAAAUGGGAGGUCAUCAUCGUCUAUGGACCGGCAGACCACAGCCGCUCCCCGACCUUCCUCGCCGAGCUGCAGCAGAAGAUCUCCGCUUCCCCCCUCCCUGUUGUGGUGGGAGGUGACUUUAACCUCAUCCGCUCCCCGGAUGAGAAGAACAAUGACCGGGUUAAUCGCCCCCGGAUGCAGAUGUUUAACGACUGCAUCGCGGAGCUGGGCCUCCAUGAGCUCGAGCGCACGGGGGCCCGGUUCACCUGGACUAACCGCCAGGCGAACCCGACGUAG
rnacentral:rRNA from 1 species